rnacentral:rRNA from 1 species
UACGUAGGGUGCAAGCGUUAUCCGGAAUUAUUGGGCGUAAAGAGCUCGUAGGCGGUUUGUCGCGUCUGCUGUGAAAACUGGAGGCUCAACCUCCAGCCUGCAGUGGGUACGGGCAAACUAGAGUGCGGUAGGGGAGAUUGGAAUUCCUGGUGUAGCGGUGGGAUGCGCAGAUAUCAGGAGGAACACCGAUGGCGAAGGCAGAUCUCUGGGCCGUAACUGACGCUGAGGAGCGAAAGCAUGGGGAGCGAACAGG